rnacentral:rRNA from 1 species
CCUACGGGAGGCAGCAGUGAGGAAUAUUUGUCAAUGGGCGCAAGCCUGAUCCAGCCAAGUCGCGUGAAGGAUGACUGCCCUACGGUUUGUAAACUUCUUUUAUAAGGGAGUAAAGGGCGUCACGUGUGCCUUUUUGUAUGUACUUUAUGAGUAAGGAUCGGCUAACUCCGUUCCGUCAGCCGCGGUAAUACGGAGGAUCCGAUCGUUAUCCGGAUUUAUUGGGUUUAAAGGGAGCGUAGAUGGGUUGUUAAGUCAGUUGUGAAAGCUUGCGGCUCAACCGGAAAAUUGCAAUUGAUACUGGCAGCCUUGAGUACAGUUGAGGGAGGCAGAAUUCGUGGUGUAGCGGUGAAAUGCUUAGAGAUCACGAAGAACUCCGAUUGCGAAGGCAGCCUACUAAACGGCCACUGACACUGAUGUUCGAAAGUGUGGGUAUCAAACAGGAUUAGAUACCCGAGUAGUC